rnacentral:rRNA from 1 species
AGUUCGGAUCGGAGUCUGCAACCCGACUCCGUGAAGCUGGAUUCGCUAGUAAUCGCGCAUCAGCCAUGGCGCGGUGAAUACGUUCCCGGGCCUUGUACACACCGCCCCGUCAAGCCAUGGAAGCCGGGGGGUGCCUGAAGUGUGCAACCGCAAGGAGCGCCCUAAGGUAAAACCGGUGACUGGGGCUAAGUCGUAACAAGGUAAC